AAUAGGCAUGUGCCAUUUAGAAGGUCGCACAGCGAACCUCGAAACAUGCCAGAACCUUAACGAGAAACACUGAAAUGCAGAAGAAAUCAGAAGGAACCGCGCUCCCAACACGCACGGCCCCGCCACGCAGCAGCAUCCUAUGGGGCAGGGAGCAGCCAAUGCUCGUGGGGCUGCUCACAGGGAAGUGAACGCUGCCUUUCAUAAAAGCUGACUCCUCUACCCCAAAUAAAAAACAUUCCCUGCCUUGAAGAACAACAUUUUUUUAAUUAUUAUUUCAAAGUACCCUGUUCAGCAGCAGAGCAUACAAAUACUCAUAGCUACGCAAAUAGCAACUCUUUAUUUGCUUUGUUUGCUCAGCUAAUAUUGACUUUCCAGCCUAACACUGCUGCUAUUGAGUUUGGCUAUUCACAGUACUGUUUGACUAGCAUUAGAACAGCGCGGCGAUAACAGCAUGUGCAACCGAAAAAGCAAUCCAUCGCCCCUCCGUGGGACAGUGCCAUUAUGACAGAGGGGGAAAAAAAACCGUCUGCUUAUUCAGUCAAGUACAACUGUUGAAUGCUACGCUGGCAAUGACACUCCUGGCUAGUGCAAACAACCCAAGGUUACAGCGUUAGUGUGUACUCGCGCAAAGCAAACACUACAGAGCGGUUCCGUUGCUGCCCGUCGCCUUGGGCAGGACCCAGGGGUUCGUUCCCUGCCUGGGGUCAGUGUGUGCUGCCCUGUGCCAAGGCUCCUCCCAGCCGUGUGCGUGCUGUGGAGUGGAUGGGUACACACGGAUGGAUGGAUGGGACCCCUCUGUGGGGGGAAGCAGGGCGAGAGCGCUGCGGAAGGGACGAGGUGGUUGUAGAGAGGUGGGUAUCGGUCUCUUCUCCCAGGUCACAGUCACAGGACAAGAGGUGACGGCCUCAUGCUGCGCGAGGGGUGGCUCAGGUUGGAUGUUAGGAAAUAUUUCUUCUCCAAAAGAGCAGUGCUGCACUGCACAGCUGCCCAGAGAGUUGUGGGGUCACCAUCCCCAGGGGUGUUCCAGGACCGUGGGGAUGUGGCACUGAGGGAUGUGGGCAGUGUGCACGGUGGGAUGGGUUGGGGUUGGGGAUCUGAGAGGUCUUCACCAACCUUAAUGCUUCUGCGACUCUAUGGCUUGGCAUGGCGGGGAUGGGUUGACUUGGUGAGGCCUUUUCCAGCCUUAAGGACUCUAUGGCGGCUGAUGCAGAAGUAUGGGCAUCCUUCAGCAGACAUCAGUGCUGCAAGCAUCCCAUGCUGCCACCCUACAAAUCCAAACCCAUGCGGCACCCACCCCUGCAGCAGCGUGCUCCCUGAACUGCCUGCAUUUGUCACUGCUCUCCAUUCACACCCAACUUUACAGACAUAUUUCACUUCCCUUCCAGAUUGCAGAGCCAGACUGAUUGCCUCGCUCGCCUCCCACGUGCGUCCACCAGUUUAUACAAAUAGCUGUGUGUGCACAGCAGGCAGAGGCAGAGAGCAGCGCCUGUCUGGCACACCGAGCAGCCGGCUUCUCCCGGGGCAGCCCUGCGUGGGACCCCCAGCCCCACAUUAUCACUGCGAGCCCUGGGUUUGGUACUUCAAGCUGACAUUGGGAAGUUCCUCCUCCUCUGCUUCAGGAGGCAGGGAAACAGAUAGAGAGGAGAGGCAGAGCUGGCGGUUGGAUGUGGUGAUCUUAGCGGUCUUUUCCAGCCCUAACGAUUCUAUGAGUCUAUGAUGCCAUGAGGGAGGUCACCACUGCAUCCAAGCUCCAGGACGUGACAUCCACGUGGAGGCAUUCCCUCCAAGAGCUCCAAAAAUGAGGCAGAAGCCGCAUUUCUGCACGCACUGAUUACUGAGGAGCAACAAACAGCUGCAUGCAAAAGUGGAAAGCAGGUACGGUGAAGGAGAGACGUUGAUGUGAUAAUUAACACAUCAAGUUUUAGUGAUCCAUCAGUACUGCGUUGGGGAUCACUGACCAGGAGGGCUCCUCCAGCCCCACAAUGGAGGCUGGGUGAUGGAAGGACCUUAGAAUCACAGAAUCAGAAUCGCUAAGGUUGGAAAUGAUGACUGAGGUCACCAAACCCACCCAUCACCUUCUGCUCCAGGUGUCCACCAACAGCAGAGAACACAAGAGAUUCCCCUCCCCUUUUGGGGAUAGGACGGAGACAGUGCAUUCAGGCAAUAGAUGACUCACAGAGCACGAGCCAGCAACAAAAGCUGGAGCACAGCAGGUGCUGGGCACGGCCACCUCCCAACUUCCUCGUGCUGAGUUUUCCCAUGAGCAGUGAAUGCCAAGCAGCCUCUAACCCAGAGCAUCCAGGUUAAUUACUCAUUAAUAGCACUGAAACACCCUUCACAUUCUCCAGGAAAUGUAUUCCAGCCAGCACGAAAGGCAACGCAAUGCUCUGAUUCAUCCCAGCGUCCAGGAGAACAUCGCAGCAAUAAACUGAUAAGGAAGAACAGGUCCGAUGCAGCUCCUCUCCAGCCUGUAAUUAGAGCAGUCUGCAUGGCAAUUAACACAAAGUUCCCACUGGUGUGGCUCGGGGCGGGCUCCCAUCCCGCUGCUCUACAGAUGAGUUCUUCCUUCCUUCCAGGCCCACCCCUGGCAGGCACUGCACCCAUGCAGGGCAGCCCUCAGCCCCCGCAGCCUUCCCUGGUGUCGGUGCCAUGCUGGGUAUCUCCCAUAGGGCCAAACUCAUGGUCACAGCACCCAAAAUGCAGCACAGGGUGGGCUCUGCAGCACACCAACCAGCUCCCCUCUCUCAUCCACUCAGCUCAGUCUCAGAGCCCACAAGAUAUGCCACUCUAUGCAAAUCUACCCACCUGCCACUCAGCAGAAAUAGGAGUUCAUUUUGAGUCCCAGAGCCCCAGGCUUUGACACUUGCCAUGCUAAGCACUGCUCAGGGCUGCCUGCAGGCAGCACAGAGCCACUGCCAUCUGCUGCCAUGGGCUGCCAUCACACCGUGCUGCUCCUGGGCUGCCCCACACUUUGACUUUAAUCCCUAUCCAUACUCUUUAUCCAUGCAAUUGCCCACAGUGCCCCGUGCCUCUGAUUUUCCCUCCCUGAGUAACAGGCAAACUUCUCGCUUCUGCCUGCUAAGCUGCCGUGAGCUUCAGCUCUCUGGAAUGACCAGGAUGGGCAGAUGUCACCUGGAUGCCACCACCCCAAGGGCUGCUCUGAAGAUGCUCUGCUGCAAACCUAUGUGGUUUUUCCCAGAGAAGGCGGCUCAGGGCCAGACACAAACACCCAUUACAGACGCAGGUGGGGAGGUGCUGCAAUAGCAGUGACUCAGGACUGCACCAUCUCGCCCUGCUGACGGGCUCUGUGUGGGCUCAUCCUGCCCAGGACACCGUCUCCAAGGGCUGGGAGCCACCUGUUGGGCAAAAGUGGGGCAGAGGAGCAGCGUUGCUCAACCCAACCUCAUUCACCACUCAUCCCAGAGCAUCAUCUCCAUCACCUGCAGCAUAAUUCCCUUUGCAAGCCAAGCGGCAAGUCUACUUUCUGCUUCAGUUGCUUCCCUCUGCAAAAAGCGUUUGCUAACUCCCAUUAUCCAAUAUUUAACAGCGCACAGCAAUAAACAAAGUGUUAGAGAUGAGAGUACACGCCGCGUGUGUUGUGAGGCUGCAUUCAAAAUGCAGAGGCUGUCUGCUGAGGGAAGCAGUGCUCUGUGCAGCUUUCAGGUGCGUUCUGCUCUCUAUCAGAGCCCAAUUAGAUUCCUGCUCCGGGGAGAACAGCUCUUUGCAGAGCAGAGAUGGAGCGCCCUACGUGCACACAGUGAUUGCUGCUUGUCAUAAAGAUGGACAUGGCUACCAAAAGGUGCAAGUCAUUAUCUGUCCCAGUUAUUCUCCCUCCACAAUGCAGUGAAUAAAGACCAACCGCACCGCCAUCAUCACCCACAGCCUCCAGUGGUGGCACUAUGGGGACCAGGACCCCAUGGAUGGAGGUGUCCCCAGGGCACGGGCUGCCAGGACCCACAUCUCACCCAUCCCUACAUUUCAUUCCAGAUGCACAUGGAAAGCAUCCCCCGGCUUCCAGUUCCAGCCUCCCACCUCAGCCGUGCAGCCGCUCCAGAACAACAUCCAUCCCCAUCGUUCCUCUUGCUUUCAAUCCACAAUCCAGAUUUGCCCGGAGACCUAUAAGAGCUCUUAAGCUAUCUUGUCUGCUCGUGUGCAGAGGAGGGGGAGAAGAAAGCCCCACGGUGGAGAAAACAAGGCUGCGUGAAUUGGAGGGGUUAGGAAAACACUCGUACCUACGCAGGGAAGGCACCAAGUGAUGAAUCAAUUAAAUACCUGAUGGAUUAACCUGAAGUCGGGGUGUUCUCACUGCACUUUCCAUGGCAAGCAGCUUCAAAGGACCCAAUGCGUGGUGCAGCAUCGCCGUGCCAAAGCGGCUCCGGGCAUCGGGGCUGAGCCCAGCAGGACAGAUGGACACCACAAGUGGGCAAGCACCCAAUGAGAGGCACAGGAAAGCAUCUGAGCCUGCAGUGGGGGCUGUUGUCAAGCUGACAGCUGGCUCUGUGGCCUCGAUGGCCCUUACGCUGGCAGAGGUGCAAGCUCCUAGACAUCACCAUCCCAUAAAUCGGGUUGUUCUGAGCAAGAGGAGCCAACACCUUCCCCCAGCUUUUGCUGAGUGCCCCCAGAUACACAGCAGCACCACAGGCACAGAACAUGGAUGUGGUGCUGAGGCCAUGGUCAGUGAGCAUGGUGGGGGGGUUGGGGUUUGGAGAGGUGUAUUACCACCUCAGUGACCUCCCAGAGGCAGUGAGUUUUACUGCCACAUCACCAACGCUAACAGCAUCCGAAGGAGACCCCUCCCACAGCCGUGAGCCAGGGGGAAUCACAGCACCACUCCAGCUGGAGAAGACUUUCGCUAUCGAGACCAACCCGUCCUACCGAGCCCCAGCACCAACCACGUCCCUCAGUGCCACAUCCACGUGUCUCUCAGAUACCCCCGAGGAUGAGGACUCCACAAACAACCUGAGCAUUCCCAGUGGAUGAAAUAGCCACUGCUCAAUCCUAAUAGCACAGCUCCCUACUGCCGGGCAGAGCCCAUGGGAAGGCUCAGAGCCCUCGUGUUCCUUAGGGGAGAGGCCAGGAAAGCAAAGGAGGACCCCAG
ensembl:lncRNA